rnacentral:rRNA from 1 species
UGGGGAAUAUUGCACAAUGGGCGAAAGCCUGAUGCAGCAACGCCGCGUGAGUGAUGAAGGCCUUCAGGUUGUAAAGCUCUGUCUUUUGGGACGAUAAUGACGGUACCAAAGGAGGAAGCCACGGCUAACUACGUGCCAGCAGCCGCGGUAAUACGUAGGUGGCAAGCGUUGUCCGGAUUUACGGGCGUAAAGGAUGCGUAGGCGGAUUUUUAAGUGAGAUGUGAAAACCCUAAGCUUAACUUGGGGACUGCAUUUCAUACUGGAAAUCUAGAGUGCGGGAGAGGAGAAUGGAAUUCCUAGUGUAGCGGUGAAAUGCGUAGAGAUUAGGAAGAACACCAGUGGCGAAGGCGAUUCUCUGGACCGUAACUGACGCUGAGGCAUGAAAGCGUGGGUAGCAAACAGGAUUAGAUACCCUGGUAGUCCACGCCGUAAACGAUGAGUACUAGGUGUAGGAGGUAUCGACCCCUUCUGUGCCGCAGUUAACACAAUAAGUACUCCCGCCUGGGAAGUACGAUCGCAAGAUUUAAAAACUCAAAUGAAUUGACGGGGGUCAUAGCUGUUUUUCCCU